rnacentral:lncRNA from 1 species
GUGAGAGAAUGGGCCCCAUGCAGGUCACUCCACUGCCAUGGGACCGUGCUGAGGAAGCAAAGGCACUUUGCUCACCUCCUUGUCUCUCCUACUGCCGGCUCCUGUCUCUGGGCAUUCUGCACAUCCAGGUCGCUGAUUCCAACGGCAUUCAGCAUAGCACCCUGAGACAUCCAAAGCUACAGGACAGCUAUCACCCUUUUCCCAGCAAUGGCCCAUCGGAGGGGUAACUCUAGCUUCCAGAGCCUGCUGCAGAGCAGACUCUUGCCUGCACAGCAACAUUGUUCAGCCUGAUCUGCCAGCAAGACCAGCUUUCCUCUGGAUCCGAUCAUCUACAGCUGUCUUUCUGGCCAUGCUGGCUGCUGGUGUGUGGUGGAUGGAACUGAGCUAAAUGUGUGAGCCACAGAUUGUCACAGCCCUGAGCUGUCAGACUGGAGUCUCCAUGUGGCAGUGGAAUCAUUGGAGGUAGACCAGCACUCCCCAGCUCUGCCAGACCGGCAUGCCACACUUCCAUCUGUCACCACUUAAAGGUGUGGAUCAGAUAGCCAGCCACAACUAAUGGAACACAGAAUAUUUUCCAGCUCUUAUUUUGAAAUAAUUUCUGGUGGAGUCUCACUUGCCUCUGUGUCGGGGCAGACAGUCAGUCAGGCUCAGCUUGCUUGGAACAACUAAUCAGUAGUUGGUGCUAAAACCGAUUUAUUGGAGUGGGCCGAGAGACACCUCAGUUUUCUCUAUUAAUGUGUAAAAUGAAAUCAUUUAUGAGUUGCUGAGUGAUGUGCCUGGUGCUGCUUCUCCCUCUGCUUAGUGAGCCCAAGAUGGGAAGGUGCCUUUCUGAAAACUGGAUGCCAGUAACAUGCUAGAAAUGAAAAAACAAAAAAAAACAAAAACAAAACAAAACAAAAACCUGGCAGCUAGAGAGUUAGCUAGACAGUUCUUAGCAUGCACAGCAGUGUCUUGUAACCACCUGUAACUUCAGUUUCCAGGAAUUCCAUGACCCCACUUUGCUGGCCUCCUCGAGCACCCACAUAUGUGGAUAUGUAGCAUCCAUACAGAGACACACGAAUAAAAAUAAAAAUUUAAUAAAAUUAAAUAAGCCUGAUGCUCUGAAAGCCUGUUUGUUACUCUCCUGAGUAGGGAGACAAUCACCUACUCU